GUCAGUUUUCUCUGUAAUGCGACCACCCCAGCAGCUGUAUGUGGGUGCCCUGUCUGGGAAGGGUAAGAGCCAAAGCUGGGACAGAGGAAGUGGUCCAGGGACGAGAGGAUGGUCCAGGAGAGAGAGAACGGUCAGGCGGGGACUGAUGGUCCAGGUUAGGGAUAAUGGUCCAGGGAAUGGAUGACCAUCUAGCAAGGGAUGAUGUUCCACACAAAGGAUCAUGGUUCACCUGAGGGCUGAUGUGACCUGGAUUAAAGUUUUAGCCUUAAAGCUUUAGAGCUAUGACAGGACAGGAGAGAAUUCGGUUAAGUUUUGGCUGAGGAAUUGCUUUGUUUCGAUUUACUGAGUAGGAAGAAGACGUGUGAGGAGCAGGCUGAGGGGCAUUCAGUAGUUCUCUCGGCUAUGUUAAGUUCAAGAUGCCUUUUGACACCCAACCGGGGACUGCAAGCAGAAGGUCAGGUAGUCCUGUGUGGCACUCAGGUGUCAGGUUUGGACUGGAGUUGGGUAUUUCAGAAUCAUCAGUGCAGAGAUGGUAGAUGAAGUCAUGGGACUGGCUCAGGUUACUGCAUUACUUUCCUGUAGCGGCCUUAACAGAGCGCCACUGACUGGAUGGCUUAAACAACAGAACUGUAUUCACUCAUGGUCUGGAGGCCAGAAAACUGAAAUCCAGGUGACAUAGGGCCAUGUCCCCUCUGCAAGUGCCAGGGACAGUCCUUCCCUGCCUUUUCCAGCUUCUGGUCAGUCUUAGGUGUCACUGGCAUUCCUGGGCUUGUGGCUGCAUCCCUCCUACUUUCUGCCUCUGUCGCCAAAUGAACAUUCCCCUGGUGGUCGUCUGUGUCCAAAUCUCCGACUCUCUAUAAGGAUGCCAGCCAUUGGAUUAGAGCCAUUGAUUAGAGCCCUACUUCAGUAUGACCUCAUCCUAACUUGAUUGCGUCUGCAAAGAUCCUAUUACAAAUAAGAGCACAUUGACAGCUUCUGGGUGGACAUGAAUUCUGUGCGGACUCCCUUUAGCCCAGUGCAGUGACCGAGGGAGAGAGCGUAGGUAGAGAAGAAUCCUAAUGAAUACAGAACUUCCCGUCCCAAUGGUAAGGGGACAAAGAGAGAGGGGAAAAGACGGGGGAGGCCCAGGGCUCACGAGUCAAGAGAGGCGUUGUCCUACUGGAGUGACCAACCAUGCCACACACUGCAGAGGGAUCGGGGACAGAAGGGUCUUUUGGCUUUGGAAUUGUGGAAAUAAUGGGCCAGUUUAAAAAGACUCUUUCCAGCAAAAUGGUAGGACAAAAGCAUAUGAGAUCCGGUUGAAGACGGAGUGCGGACAGUGAAAAAAAGAGCAGGCAGAGACAUCUUUUUCUAUGAGGGCUGGAAGUGGAGCACAGAGUGGGGUCCGGGCGGUUGAAAAGAGGUGUGAGCUUGCAGCACGCCUGUGUGAAGAGGGCAGGCAGCAGAGCCCAGUGGGGGGUGCCAUCGGGUCCGUGGGUGCGUGAGGGACUGGCAUUCAGUCCACUUAGGGAGGGGUGGCUUCAGACAGGAGCAGGGACAGGCCAGUGAUUGUAAGGCAGGGGCCGCAUUUCUGGGCACACGUGCACCGACAGGCAUGGGACUGGUGAUGGGAAGAUGAGUUCUCAUGGGACGGCACACAUUUCAUGGGCCGGUUUUGGAGAGAGCCGGGAAGCAGGGAAGGGAUGGCAGGCUGUGAGGUGAAGAGGGGAGAGGGAAGUGGGUACACCAGCGCCCCGGAAGGCGGCUGAACGCCCGCGGCGUGCACGCGGGAGGAGGGGCUCUGCCAUCCCUCCCGCCCUGUCCAGCAGCCUGGGCAGGUGGAGGGUGCGGGGUGUCUGGGUUUGAUCGUAGCUGGAGUCCUGCCAGAGGGGAAAAGGAGAACAGGAGGUUUGGGGAUCCAGAAGGCUUGGCGAGGCGGGAAGGAGGAGUCGGGGGCUGCUGGGAAGUGUAAGCCCCGGGCUGUGGGGUAAUAAUGGCUACUGAGAAAGAGGAGAAAUCGGUGUUUAUAGGGUCACAAGGAUUGGAAACCCCAGGAAAACACGGCACCUUCUGGGGCAUCUGGCCAAAUCAUAACUCCUCACUUUCUCUGAGAACCAUUUCCAAAACUACAAGGGUGGAACCAUACCUGACGGGGCCAGACUGCAGACCAAAGACCAUCUGCUUUACCCGGAAUGCCCAGUCAGGGCUGAGAAAGCCUGGCCAGUCUUGGUGGGAGACAGCCUGUGGACAAAGAACCAAAGGUUAAAGAAGAGGACAGGAGAUGGCUCUGGGCCCUAAAGUCCUUGCAGACCCCAGUUCUAGCCACUUCCCAAGAAAGACCUGGCAUGAAGUCUGCCUAGGGGGUCCUUGACAACCCAGCACAAUAGCCUGAUUAGCCCAAGUUCAGCUGGAAUUAAUUUCUGGUACUUGCAGUCGAGUGACCCCUGAGUAAUGCAAUCAUGAAUUAUUCUCACAAUUAGAAAAUAACUACAAAAGAUAUAUUUUUACUUUUUAUAACUCUUUAUUUAGAAGUAAUCGUAGUCACAGGAAGUAGCAAAAAUAGCAGAGUCUCCUGUGCUCUUCACCCAGCACCCGCCACGGUGAAUCCGCCAUAGUUGUAGGACAGGAAAUUCACACCGCUGCAGGACUGUAAACUAGACCACAGACACAUUCGAUUCUCACCACUGUAAAAGCUACAUUCGUGUGUGUGUAUGUGUGCAGUUCUGUGCAAUUAUAGCCCAAGAGUAGAUUCAUAUAUUUACCACCACGGUCAAGAUAUAAAACUGUCCCAAUAUCAACAAAGAAUUCCUUUAAGCCGCCUUUUUUUUUGCAGUCACUCCCCACUCCUGGAAACACUCAUCUCUUCUCUGUGUCUGUACUAUUUUUUGAGCAUGUGCCUAAUGGAAUUAUACAGCAUGCAAGCUUUAGAGAUUGACCUUUUUUCCACUAAGCAUAAUGCCCCUGAGAUCCCACCAACUUGUUGCAUAUACAGACCAAUAGUCCAAUCCUUCUUCUCACUGCUGAGUAAUAUUCCAUUAUGUUAAUGUUCCUGAGUUUGCUCAACCACUCACCUAUGAAAGGACAUUCGGGUUCUUUCCAGGAUUUUGUUAUUAUGAGUUAAGCUGCUAUGAACCUUCAUGUAUAGGUUUUUGUGUGAACAUAAAUUUUAAUAUCUCAAGGGUGAAUGCCUCAGAAUGACUGCUGGGUCUCAUGAUAAGUGCAUGUUCAGUUUUGUAAGAAACUGCCUAGUAUUUUCCAGACUGGCCCUUCUGCAUAGGCAAGUUUUUACACCCAUUUUGCAUUCCCACCAAUAAUGUACGAGAGAUCCAGUUUCUCCUUCCUGUUCUCCUGUGUAGGCCUUCUUGGGGGUUACUUGAAUGUUUUUAGAAUUCCAUUUCAUCUCUAGUGCUUUCAAAGAUUGAAAGCCAGCCAAGUGGAGAUGCAGAACAAGUCCAGGCAGUCAGGCGUGGCGGCCUGGAGAGCGGGAUGGGGCGCGGGUGUUGGUAUGCACACCGGAGCCCUCGGCGACUAAUGGUGUUAAAAUCAUGGGAAAGAUGACACCCCCUAAGGAGAGAGAGGAAGGCUCAGAUGGGCCCUGAGUGACCCAAGGAGUCAUGUCAGGGAGCCAAGGAAGGUGGCCAGCAAAGGAGCCUGCAAAAGGAGCCCUUCAGCACUUCAUCAAAGACAGACUGAGAGUUUUUCAACCAGAUUAAAGUCAUAGCGCAGACCUACUGUUCUGCCUUCUGCUUUAUGGCUUGCUCUAUUGAGGCUAUUCUUCCUUGUCAUCAAAUUUGCUUUUGCAACACAGUUUUUAGUAAUUCUAUCGUUUUUCAUUGUAUGGCUAUAUCAUGACUUAGGUCUUUGAAAAAUUUCUCCUAGAACCUUGUCCAGGAUCAAAAUCAAAGGUAUCGGCCCACAUUUUGUGGAAAUGCCUUCCACCUUUUGGAACUCAGGACUAUGAUCGCUUCUCCUCAGUCCUGCUCUUCUGCUGUUUCCCACAUUCUUUAAAGAACACCGUACACUCCCGAUGUCUUCUAUAUACUUUCCUAGUCCUCUGGAAUACAGUCUUCAAAUCUAUGGGCUUCUCAGUAAGUCAACAUUGACAGGUAGUGACUCUGAAGCAUCUUACUACACUGAUGGACAGCGACUGCA